GCCACAGCUCAGUGGCAGAGCAUCUGCCUUGUAUGCUGAAGGUAUCAGGUUCAAUUCCUAGUAUCUCCC